rnacentral:lncRNA from 1 species
AGAAAUGUAAACCCUAACUCUAUUAAUCACUUAUGCAUUUAAUUUAUGAAUUUGUUUUCUUUUAAGUUCCGGGCCUUUACAGUUGGUAUCAGAGCCGCCUUCCUUGGAACCAUUCAUUGCAUAAAGACUUACAAACACCAAAUACAAACUAUUACUCAACUUUUUCUUGUGAAAUAUAGGUACAAGAAAAUGAGGAGCAGAAGACCCCCACUAAAUUAAACAACCCAGGAUGCCUCAAUUCGAGAGGAUGUUGACCGACUCUUUGAGAUGCUGGAGAGACUCAUCUCUGCCCAGUAGGUCUGGG